UACGUAGGGUACGAGCGUUAAUCGGAAUUACUGGGCGUAAAGCGUGCGCAGGCGGCGUGUCAAGUCAGAUGUGAAAUCCCCGGGCUCAACCUGGGAAUGGCAAUGGAUACUGGCUGGCUAGAGUGUGUCAGAGGAUGGUGGAAUUCCCGGUGUAGCGGUGAAAUGCGUAGAGAUCGGGAGGAACAUCAGUGGCGAAGGCGGCCAUCUGGGACAACACUGACGCUGAAGCACGAAAGCGUGGGGAGCAAACAGG
rnacentral:rRNA from 1 species